rnacentral:misc_RNA from 1 species
ACAAAAUAUUCCAGGGGAAAAAGGUUAUUUUGGAGAUGAAAAAUUGAAAAAUUCCAUUCAAGUUCGAAAGAUUUUUUCUAUAUUUAAGUCAUAUUAAAUUAUAAAAAAAUAUUAGAUAUCAAAUUUUAUCGAGUUAAGAUCUUAUAAAACAAUAGAUUAGCAAAAAUAAUAUUUUUUCCUUUGAAUUCUCCUUCUCUACAACAGAAUCAAGACUAUGUUAAGGAAAUUAGCAACUGGAAGCGCUCUAAUAGCUACUGGAGGUGGGCUUAUAUAUAUAAAAAAACGUGAAAAUGUAGCCAGUGCAGCCGAAACUCCAUAUCAUCAUCAACAUCAGGUAUUUAAGAGUCGAAAGGAUCAUAUUCAUGAUCUAAAGACAGGAGAAUAUGAUGUUAUUGUUGUUGGUGGUGGAGUAACGGGAGCUGGUGUUGCAUUAGAUGCUCAAACUCGUGGACUGAAGACUGCUAUUUUAGAAAAAGACGAUUUUUCAUGUGGAACUAGUAGCAGAUCAACAAAGUUGCUACACGGCGGAGUAAGGUAUUUACAAAAGGCAGUUUUUAAUUUGGAUUAUGAACAAUAUCGUAUGGUAAAAGAAGCCUUAGCAGAAAGAGCUAAUCUUAUUAAAAUAGCUCCUCAUUUGGCACAACCACUUCCUAUUAUGUUACCAGUAUACCAAUGGUGGCAACUACCAUACUUUUGGGCAGGCCUGAAGAUGUACGAUCUUGUAGCAGGUUCUCAAAGGUUAAAAAAUUCGUAUUUUAUGUGGAAAAAUCAAGCAAUUGAAAACUUUCCUAUGUUGAAAUCUGACAAACUUGUUGGAGCUUUGGUAUACUACGAUGGUCAGCACGAUGACGCCAGAAUGAAUCUGCAAAUUGUUCUCACGGCAAUGAAGUAUGGAGCAACCAUCCUAAAUCAUGCAUCUGUUAUUAAUCUUUAUAAAGGCGAAAAUGGCAAGCUUAAUGGGGCAAAAAUACGCGAUGAAGAGACAGGAGAAGAAUUUGUUGUAAAAGCGAAAUCUUUCGUUAAUGCCGCAGGGCCAUUUACGGAUUCCAUUAGGAAACUGGACAAUGAAAACAUUAGAGAAAUUUGUCAGCCAUCGCUAGGAGUGCACGUUGUAUUACCAGAUUACUAUUCUCCUGCAAAAAUGGGUCUUCUUGAUCCGGCAACAUCUGACGGACGUGUUAUUUUCUUUCUUCCAUGGCAUGGUACAACUCUUGCCGGUACCACAGAUGCACCUUGCAACCUCACUAGCGAACCUGCUCCUACAGAAGCUGACAUUGAAUUUAUUCUACGUGAAAUCAAAGAAUACCUUUCAGAUGAUAUCAAUGUCAGAAGAGGAGAUGUUCAGGCAGCUUGGGCGGGUAUUAGACCCUUAGUUCUUGAUCCUAAUGCAUCAAGUACUCAGAGCAUAGCCAGAAAUCAUAUUAUUGAAGUUUCCGAAAGCGGUCUGAUAACGAUUGCAGGCGGUAAGUGGACAACUUAUAGGCAUAUGGCCGAGGAGACCGUUGAUAGACUGGUUGAAGUUCACAACUUCUCCUCUGCUAGCAGUUGUCAGACUAGAGGUCUGAUGCUUGACGGCGCUGAUCACUGGACACCAACCUAUUUUAUUCGCUUAAUUCAAGAUUUUGGUCUUGAUCACGAGGUUGCCGUUCACUUGUCUCAUCUGUAUGGUGACAAGGCGUACAAGGUAGCUAGAAUGGCAAGUUUAACAGGAGCCAAAUGGCCAGUUGUGGGGCUUAGAUUGCAUACCCAAUAUCCAUACAUUGAAGCGGAAGUCAGAUAUGCGUGUCGUAGAGAGUACGCCUUAAGUGUAGUUGAUUAUAUUUCGAGACGAUCUCGCUUGGCUUUCAUAAAUGUUCAGGCGGCACGGGAAGCUUUACCAAAAAUCUGUGCAAUAAUGGCCGAAGAACUCGGUUGGAGUAAACAAAGAAUAAAAAUUGAACAUGAAAAUGCUUUGAAAUUUUUGAAACUCCAAAUGGGUUUGGGAAUGAAAGAAAGAUCUUUAAGGAAUAUCCCAAUCAAUUUAUCAUAUGAAGAAAUUAGAGAAAUGCAAAAGAGAUUCAAAUCUAUUGACACAAGCAACAAAGGUUUUAUUACAGUAAAUGAUCUUCGAAGGCACUUUCAUAAAAGAGGAGAGAAAAUUAGUGAAGAACAAUUGCACGAAAUAUUAGAAGAGGUUGAUUGCUCCAACAACGCUCAAAUUGAUCUUUCAGAAUUCUUACAGUUAAUGAGCGCUCUAAGAACUGGAGCAGUAUCGCAAAGCCGUUUCGCAAAAGUAGCAGAAAUUGCCGCAGAGAAAAAACCAAUUCCAGUCAACCGUAGUGGGGGUGGAGUAUAAGUCUCUCUAGAAAACAUUGGAUAAAAGUGAGAUUCGGAUUCUAAAUGGAAUCUAAUUUCAUAUAUACUUGUAUUAAAAAAAUCCACCUAUUGCAAUUAGUUUGUUGAUGACAAACUUUAGAAAAUUUUAAAUGUGUAGUGGACAGCUUCUAUUUUUUGACUUUAAUUGCCAUUUCUUCCCCCUCCCCCUCUCUCUCCCUUGUUUUAAAACAUAUAUUUGUGCAGUUUUUAGCUAAAAAAUAGUAAAUACAGGUUUGUUGUUUGGAGAAAA